AGCUUCAAAGCAAUAGGCAUAAUCAUUUCUGGGAAUAGCUGAAAGAGGAAUGCAACCCAUCUGAGCCUGGGAAUCAGACUAUUUAAAAAUAUUACAUAAGUAAGGUACCACAGAAUUCCUGAAAAAAACUUUUAAAACUUUAAUUUAUGCUACGUAAGGUUACAAUACCAUGUGACGGACAUCACAAUAGAAAUAAUUCAUCCUGAAUUUCACAUUUGAAUUCAACUGGAAUCAUAAUGGAGUUUCGAGUCAUAUUAAGUCUUCUAUUUCUUACAGCUGCUGUUGCUGCUGCUGCACUUGGAAUUGCCAAUGCUACAUCUUCUCUUGAAUCUACCGGGCCAACAACACCCACAGUUCCUCCGACAUCCACAUCUGUUCCUUCAACAACAACAAACACAAUUGCUCCCACUCCCAUUUCAGCUGCUUCAACAACUACAGCUGUUCCUCUAACAAUUAUUACUGUUCCUCCUACCAUAACCUCAAUUUCAUCUGCAUCGACCACAGUUGUACCCCGAACAACCACAGUUGUACCUCUAACAGUAACAACAGCUGCACAAACAACUACAGCUGUUCCUUCAACAACAACAGCUGCACCAACCACAACAGCUUCUCCAACC